ACGGUGAGGAUCAUCACAUCCGACAGCUUUUUCACCGACUGGAUCAGGGCCCCCACGAUCGUCUUCAGCCCUGACCAUAGGGAGGAGGCCUUGGGACGCCCUCUGGGCCCCGCUCACGCCAUCAUGAUGACACUGAAGUCCAGCCAGUUCCAGGGGUCCCGGAGGAAUGUGAAGUCGUCAAUGCAGAAGCCUCGGGCCAGCAUCUUGAUGAGGGACUCAAAGGGGCCCAAGCGGGACGACAGAGAACCAGAGACAGUCUGGCUCCGCCCCAGCAUUCGUGGAAACUACACUCACUGGAGUCCCUGGAGGCCCCCAGAGGACAGACCCAGCGGUGUCUCCUCA